rnacentral:misc_RNA from 1 species
GAUGAAGAACGUAGCGAAAUGCGAUAAGUAAUGUGAAUUGCAGAAUUCAGUGAAUCAUCGAAUCUUUGAACGCACAUUGCGCCCCCUGGUAUUCCGGGGGGCAUGCCUGUUCGAGCGUCAUUUCACCACUCAAGCCUCGCUUGGUAUUGGGCAACGCGGUCCGCCGCGUGCCUCAAAUCGACCGGCUGGGUCUUCUGUCCCCUAAGCGUUGUGGAAACUAUUCGCUAAAGGGUGUUCGGGAGGCUACGCCGUAAAACAACCCCAUUUCUAAGGUUGACCUCGGAUCAGGUAGGUAUACCCGCUGAACUUAAGCAUAUCAAUAAGCGGAGGA